CAACAGCAAAGGUGAUGCCUCCAUGAAGACACAUCAAAUACCGCAUUGCCCAAGUGUGGCUAUCAAGAAAUAGUUCUGGCGAGCUGCAAGGCCUCUCUUCUUUCUUUUCGAUGUUGCCAGGAGGAUGGCGUCCUUGGUGGUGAUCUUGACAGUUUUAAGAAGUACUGGGUGAGUAUUUUGUAGAACGUCUGUUAAUUUGAGUUUGUCUGAUGUUUUAAUUAUGAUUCAACAAAGGCUAUAGGUUUUGGGCAUGAAGACCAUAGAAGUAAAAUGCCAUUUUCAUCAUAUCUCAUUAAAGGUACAUGCUGUCAACAUGACUUAUCACUCUGGAGGUUGACCUUAAUCAACCUCGGGUAGUGUUUGUCAGGUUUCUCCACUCUGAAGUUACUUUUCCCACCUUCCCCUACUUUACUCACUGG
rnacentral:lncRNA from 1 species